rnacentral:rRNA from 1 species
CAAUAGCGUAUAUUAAAGUUGUUGCGGUUAAAAAGCUCGUAGUUGGAUUUCUGUUGGGAACGACCGGUCCGCCCAUUGGGUGUGUAUCUGGCUUGUUCUCGGCAUCUUCUUGGUGAACGUUGCUGCACUUGACUGUGUGGAGCGCUACCCAGGACUUUUACUUUGAGGAAAUUAGAGUGUUUCAAGCAGGCAUAUGCCUUGAAUACAUUAGCAUGGAAUAAUAAGAUAGGACCUCGGUUCUAUUUUGUUGGUUUCUAGAGCUGAGGUAAUGAUUAAUAGGGAUAGUUGGGGGCAUUCGUAUUUAACUGUCAGAGGUGAAAUUCUUGGAUUUGUGAAAGACGGACUACUGCGAAAGCAUUUGCCAAGGAUGUUUUCAUUGA